rnacentral:misc_RNA from 1 species
GAGUUUUGAAAGUGGGCUUUUCGAUGCUGGCCUCUUCGGAGGCACCGUGCUCGGGCCCCGCUCAUCCACUCAACCCCUGUGCACUCUUGAGGUGUGGCCCUCCGUCAUGGGAGCCGCUCGGAGCGAUCCGAGCUGGGACCGCGCCUCGCCAACCUAUCACAAACCCACUCGUCGUCUAGUAGAAUGUGUAGCGCCUUCUGGCGUAAUAAAAGUUAAAUACAACUUUCAACAACGGAUCUCUUGGCUCU